rnacentral:rRNA from 1 species
AGAGUUUGAUCCUGGCUCAGAUUGAACGCUGGCGGCAUGCCUUACACAUGCAAGUCGAACGGCAGCACGGACUUCGGUCUGGUGGCGAGUGGCGAACGGGUGAGUAAUAUAUCGGAACAUACCCUAGAGUGGGGGAUAACGUAGCGAAAGUUACGCUAAUACCGCAUACGAACUAAGGUUGAAAGUGGGGGAUCGCAAGACCUCAUGCUCAUGGAGUGGCCGAUAUCUGAUUAGCUAGUUGGUGAGGUAAAGGCUCACCAAGGCGACGAUCAGUAGCUGGUUUGAGAGAACGACCAGCCACACUGGAACUGAGACACGGUCCAGACUCCUACGGGAGGCAGCAGUGGGGAAUUUUGGACAAUGGGCGCAAGCCUGAUCCAGCAAUGCCGCGUGAGUGA